AUUGAACGCUGGCGGCAUGCCUUACACAUGCAAGUCGAACGGCAGCACGGGAGCAAUCCUGGUGGCGAGUGGCGAACGGGUGAGUAAAGUAUCGGAACGUGCCCAGUCGUGGGGGAUAACGUAGCGAAAGUUACGCUAAUACCGCAUACGAUCUAUGGAUGAAAGCGGGGGAUCGCAAGACCUCGCGCGAUUGGAGCGGCCGAUAUCAGAUUAGGUAGUUGGUGGGGUAAAGGCUCACCAAGCCGACGAUCUGUAGCUGGUCUGAGAGGACGAGCAGCCACACUGGGACGGAGACACGGCCCAGACUCCUACGGGAGGAAGCAGUGGGGAAUUUUGGACAAUGGGCGAAAGCCUGAUCCAGCCAUGCCGCGUGCAGGAUGAAGGCCUUCGGGUUGUAAACUGCUUUUGUACGGAACGAAAAGGUUUGGCCUAAUAAGCUGAGCUCAUGACGGUACCGUAAGAAUAAGCACCGGCUAACUACGUGCCAGCCGCCGUAAGAC
rnacentral:rRNA from 1 species